UACGUAGGGUGCGAGCGUUAAUCGGAAUUACUGGGCGUAAAGCGUGCGCAGGCGGUUUUGUAAGACAGGCGUGAAAUCCCCGAGCUCAACUUGGGAAUUGCGCUUGUGGCUGCAAGGCUAGAGUGUGUCAGAGGGGGGUAGAAUUCCACGUGUAGCAGUGAAAUGCGUAGAGAUGUGGAGGAAUACCGAUGGCGAAGGCAGCCCCCUGGGACAUGACUGACGCUCAUGCGCGAAAGCGUGGGGAGCAAACAGG
rnacentral:rRNA from 1 species